GAUGAACGCUGGCGGCGUGCCUAAUACAUGCAAGUCGAGCGAAGCGGGGACGGGUGAGUAACACGUGGAUAACCUCCUAUAAGACUGGGAUAAACUCGGGAAAACGGAGCUAAACCGGAUAAUUAUCGAUGGUUCCGCGCUGCAUUAGCUAGUUGGUAAGCUAACGGCUUACAAAGGCAACGAUGCAUAGCUGACCUGAGAGGGUGAUCGGCCACACGGGAACUGAGACACGGUCCAGACUCCUACGGGAGGCAGCAGUAGGGAAUCUUCCGCAAUGGGUGAAAGCCUGACGGAGCAACGCCGCGUGAGUGAUGAAGGUCUUCGGAUCGUAAAGCUCUGUUAUUAGGGAAGCGGUACCUAAUCAGAAAGCCACGGCUAACUACGUGCCAGCAGCCGCGGUAAUUC
rnacentral:rRNA from 1 species